GUUCAAUCACUUAGGGGAAUGUUGCAAAUCGGUAGGGGAGUGUUGCAAGCACUCUGUGGAUAUUUGCAAUCAUAUAGGGGAAUCUUUCAAGCAGUUAGGGGAGAGUUGCAAUGUCACUGGGGAAUUUUGCAAUCCGUAGGGGAAUUUUAUCCGGGUUUCAAUCCAACCCUGCAAAUGUCAAGUGUCAGAAGAUAGUUUGUUUACAUUGCGUCGAUGCCGGCUCAUAAACACUCAAUCAGGCGAAGGAAAAGGCAAAGGUUCAUUGAAGUUAAAUGCUAGUGGAAACGUUGUAGUUUACUAUGCACGUGAAAUUUAUCUACAUAGAUAGCAGCUAUUAGCGUGCCCACUGCCAGAUGUAAAACAUCUAGACAUUCUUCGUUAAUGUCGGAAAUUUCUCCUUCUUGGUGUGGCCUCUCACAUUAGUCGUGUCGAUAUACUCAGCUUAUACAUAUGUAAUGUUACAAUGCUUGUAACACAUUUGUUUUUUACGCACCUUUUGUUUGCACCAACUACACGACGGUGUCAUAGAAAUAUAACGCAUGAUCACAUGAUCCAGUCAUCGAGUUUGCUGUGCUCCGCUUUGCCUCAUACCGAAUCCAGCAUCCUCAUGACAUGCCUCAGCCAUCGUAUCCUGCCAGCCUUCGCCACCGUCAGCAUCCGCAAGCUCUUGGGUCAUCCUUCUUCUCAACGCUACAUGCUUGAACACACCGCUAAAUAUGACCAGGAGGAUGCGUCUCUCAAACACGAAUAGAGCGUUUGCAUUCUCCGCUAGGAUGGUCCAAGACUCCUGUCCAUAGAGGACCACCGGGCGCAUCAUAUACGAUAUAUCUCACAUUUCUUGUAGCCUCGAAGACUUCUGGCUCUCAGCAGUCAAUGAAGCCGUUGUCCGAAGUAACUCAAGAUAGCAUUAUAAUGCAUAUUUUACAGUUUAGAGAAGGUUACCACUUGCAGUGAUUAGUUACUUGUUAAUUAAGAUAACUGAUAAUUAGUGUUAUUUUUUCAACCGUGGCUAAUGAUGAUGAAAGCUAGUGUAUAUGUAUUUUGUUAUUUUCGUUUGGAUGCUGCCUCAAAUGCGUGUUGAAUUACUGCAGGAAUGUCUGUUUUCAUCAUUUAAUAAAGACCAGCAAAGAAUACGUAUCUUGGAAAGCUGAAUAGUUUGCAAGCAAGAGUUUAGUAAAAAUAAAAAUUAAAAUUUUUUACCUUUCAAAAAACUAUUUAUUGAUGAAGGAUGGUGAUAUAUCAGUGGCGGGUUCAACGGAUUGAGCUAUUGAGAGUCUAUACAAGUCAAGCAUAUAUUACUGUGUGUGGAGUUGGCGUUAGAAUCUUGACAGGAGCUCCAUUGUAGUAUAGGGUUCCAUAGGCGGCACGGCACGUAGCUGACAGUACUCCUGGUCACCUUUCUCUUCGGUAGGAAAAAACUAUUACCCAUCUUCUCCUCGCUUAUCUUCACCUCAACUCUCCAGGUCACUUACAGCCAACGAUACUAUAAACCUAUCAGAGACAACGAUGAAUGUUUUAAAGCGUGUAUAACCAUUUUACACAUAAUAUAUGCCAGCACGUCCAGUGGCGGAUCUAACGGUAGGCGGACUAGGCGGUACCGCCUAGGGUCCCCGACACCCUUAAUCCGCCACUGAGCACGUCAUUACAUGUUCGCAAUUGACCCUGACCAGACGGUCGGCAUUUAUAAUAGCUGUCACAGAAGCGUCUAACGGAUGCAGUUGGACCAACGGUAGAGCGGUAGUCCUACAGAACAUAUUUGCGAUGCUGCUGACGCUCGCUUCAUGCAUGUGUAUGUCAUAUCUCAAUCAAUGUUUUAGUAAUGGGCUUUUCUUUCGUGGAACACAAUUCAACA